UUUCAUUAAUGCCUCAUAAACAGUUUUUUCUAAUAGAAAAAUAGCAAAUAGUACAAAUACUAUCACUACUUUGUUUUAGUGACAAAGUAGCUGCAAUAUUAUUAAUUUAGUUUUGAUUAGGAUGGGAUACAAACCCUCCUUUUCUUGACUCUUUGAUCGUUCUCCUAAUAAGAUAUGCAAUGGAUAUGUCUAAACAAUGAAUGAGCUCAAGGAAAGUUUAUCUAAAUAUCAUAUCUAUAUCUAUAUAUGUUAUAUAGAAGCAAACCACUAAGAAGUAUUUAUUGUUAUUUCUCUCUUCUCUCAAACAGCUACAUCAUCUUGAUUAUUGUAACCAUCUGAUCAACUUCGUGCACAUUUUAUAUCCAUUAGAUACAUGUCUUAUUGGUUUCUUUCUUCUCCAUCCAUUAAUUAACCAAAGAGUAACUCAAAAGUCUAUGAUUUUUAUCAAAGAGGUCGCUCACAUGGCUUUCAACGUAAUCUCUACAAGUGCACCAUUUAUACGAGCAAUUAAACAACCACAGUGGUUCAUAGCUUAUCAAAAAGCUCUCUCAAAUCCCGCAGCAACACUCGGGUAAUCACCUAGUUACAUAACAAGCACAACCAUGGACAAUUCUGUGGGAUGGGACAUGCACGAUUUGGACAGUCAAUUUACCGGUAACGGCUAAGGCUAGUGUGGAGCUGUACACCUAUGAGCAUGUUUAGGUGGGUUGAGAGUGCCAAAUCAUCUCUAGAUGGUAUUGCCACAGGGGCACACACAUGGCAUCCAAUACAUCAUCAGUUCAUCAGUAGGAAAGUUGGUUCCAUAAAAAGUUGGCUCCAUGACUUUCCAAGUUUGAGAUUCUUGAGACUUAUCGAAGUCUUGAAUGGCUCAUAUGGUUUGCUAACGUAGCCACAGAAAUAGACAAUAGUCUGAUUGUAGGUGCAGGAGUGAUAUGUGUAGAUUGUUAUUAAUGGAGGACACAUAUAAACAAUGAGGCGGAUGUGAAUCUUUUUGGAGCGAAUUCCCUUAAUGCCGCUGAAAAUUAUACUACUUCUCUUAUUACUAUCCAAAUUAUCCGAUUCGCUUCACUGCCGCUACUUCAAUUUUCCAAUCCCUCGACUGCCAUUAUCGUCAAUUGGCCGCGCCGCCGGUCCCCUGCCUCCCUCAGUGGCGAGCCGCCCGCGCCCUCCCCUGCUUCCAAUCCGCGGCGAGGUGGAGGUCAAGCACUGACUUGGUCGUGAGCUCGAUCCCCUUCCGUCACGCCAUCUCACCGGCGUGGGCGGCGACCACGGUGACCUUCUUGUCGCAGCAGGCGUCUUAGACGGCGAGCCUCGCGGUCGCCCGGUCCUGGAAGUCAGAGAGGUCCCGGCGGAGGUGCGCAUUCUCGUCGGUGAGGCGGUCGCAUCAUCGGCGGAGCACCUCGCAGUCGAGCUCCGUCUGCUCGAGCUUGGUCCUGGCCUGCCGGUUUUGGAACCAGACCUCCACCUGCCACGCGCUCCUGCUUCCCGGAGGUCGCCGUCGUUGCCGCCCUGGAACGUCAUGGCCUUCUUGCUCGGCCUAGCACUAGUACCGCCGCGAGUGGACGAGGGGAGGGGAAACGGAGGAAAGAGUCAUGCAGCUCUCUUGAAUCGGCAGUAGAUAAGACCAGAUGUAGGGCCAUGCUAUCAUUGGAAGAGGGGUAAUCUAGCCAAUGUAAAUAAUGGGAAACACAUGUUCAGAUGGUGGGUCCGUCUUGUUAGUGAGAAGAAAUUUAACAGUCA